rnacentral:rRNA from 1 species
CCCAGACUCCUACGGGAGGCAGCAGUGAGGAAUAUUGGCCAAUGGCCGCAGGGCUGAACCAGCCAAGUCGCGUGAGGGAUGACGGUCCUAUGGAUUGUAAACCUCUUUUGUCAGGGAGCAAAGGGCGCCACGUGUGGCGCUUUGCGAGUACCUGAAGAAAAAGCAUCGGCUAACUCCGUGCCAGCAGCCGCGGUAAUACGGAGGAUGCGAGCGUUAUCCGGAUUUAUUGGGUUUAAAGGGUGCGCAGGCGGAAUGUCAAGUCAGCGGUAAAAUUUCGGGGCUCAACCCCGUCGUGCCGUUGAAACUGGCGUUCUUGAGUGAGCGAGAAGUAUGCGGAAUGCGUGGUGUAGCGGUGAAAUGCUUAGAUAUUGCGCAGAACUCCGAUUGCGAAGGCAGCAUACCGGCGGCGAUCUGACGCUGAGGCACGAAAGCGUGGGUAUCGAACAGGAUUAGAUACCCCAGUA